CAGACUCCUGAGGAUGGAAGAGACAGAGAAAAAUUGACGGAAAAUAUAGUAAAAAUCUACAAAAAUAAAGGAUUUGGGGAUAUUUGAUCCAAAGGAUUCUUCUUUGGCUACAAAAUUUGAGGAGGAUGUGGAAGUUGUGGGUGAUGCAGGUGUUCAUGGUGGUGCCCUGCUGGAUGGAGAAGAUCUGGAGCUGGGCAAGGCAUGUGCUCAUGAUGAUGGUGCUAUAGAAAAUGGGGAUCAUGCCGAGGAUGGUCUUGGCCUUCUCCACCUGGGUGACUCGGCAUAGCUUCCAUGGGCUGGGUGAAGUGGUGUGAGUGCUGGAAGCUCUGCAUUGCGGCUUUGUCAAGAAUCUAAGUAGAAUUUGCAAACAAGUAGUUUAAUUUAUGUCAUGUUGUUGAAGGACUGGGAAAUCCUUGGAGUACACUAAAAUAAUGGUACUCUGAAAGAAGAAUAUUCUUUUUAUUGUUUGCUAGGAUAUUUUCUUGAUGUUUUUCCAUCAAAAAGGAAUUAUGGUUGUAGUUAUCUAAUUGGCCAAAUCAUAAAGAAAUAUAAACUGCGACAAACUGAACUAGUUGCAGCA